ACAAUGAUACUUCUGUCUAGUCGCAGUAAUGCGGGCGGCCCGGUGAGUUCCACUGGGAGGUAAAACGGCCUAUG
rnacentral:ncRNA from 1 species